AGAUUGCAAGAUGUUGUUUCAACAUUAUUGUCAAGACUGCAAAUGCACAUGGCAUUGCAACUGUGGCUGUGGACGCCUAUGUGGUGGUCACCUGGCUUCCUCCUUUUGAGGCUUCUCCCAUUGCUAAAAUGAUUUGUGACUUUGCAUCCAAAGACGUGGUGCUUCUCCCUGCCUGGCAGCCUGGGCACUGGACAUUGUGUGUGAGUAAAACCUUUUUUAUCUGAAAUACUGUGCUGUUAUUUUUGAAUCCUCAUCCAUGCUCUGGAACAUUUCAUGCAGUACAUAACAACAUUUUAAAAAUGCAUAACGAUUUUAGGUCUAAGAAUGUAACCCGACCUUUUCUGGAUCAAUUCCAAACCUCUCCUUGCCCCCUACUUUGGGUUGUUUGUUGAAGGGUCU